AGGGGAUCUUCCGCAAUGGGCGAAAGCCUGACGGAGCAACGCCGCGUGAGUGAUGAAGGUCUUCGGAUCGUAAAACUCUGUUAUUAGGGAAGAACAUAUGUGUAAGUAACUGUGCACAUCUUGACGGUACCUAAUCAGAAAGCCACGGCUAACUACGUGCCAGCAGCCGCGGUAAUACGUAGGUGGCAAGCGUUAUCCGGAAUUAUUGGGCGUAAAGCGCGCGUAGGCGGUUUUUUAAGUCUGAUGUGAAAGCCCACGGCUCAACCGUGGAGGGUCAUUGGAAACUGGAAAACUUGAGUGCAGAAGAGGAAAGUGGAAUUCCAUGUGUAGCGGUGAAAUGCGCAGAGAUAUGGAGGAACACCAGUGGCGAAGGCGACUUUCUGGUCUGUAACUGACGCUGAUGUGCGAAAGCGUGGGGAUCAAACAGGAUUAGAUACCCUGGUAGUCCACGCCGUAAACGAUGAGUGCUAAGUGUUAGGGGGUUUCCGCCCCUUAGUGCUGCAGCUAACGCAUUAAGCACUCCGCCUGGGGAGUACGACCGCAAGGUUG
rnacentral:rRNA from 1 species